UGGGUUUUACUAGUGCGAGCCAGCUCCAUGCUCAGCGGAUAGAGAUCAUCCAGAUAACAACUGGAUCAAGAGAGCUUGACAAGAUAUUGGAAGGAGGAAUUGAAACAGGUUCUAUCACUGAGUUGUAUGGUGAUAGAAAAUGAAAUACCGCCAGAAUUCCUAAACACUUUGUUGAAUAUGGCACCAAGUCAAGAGGAAGAACGAAUCAGAUUGGGGAAUUUGUUGAGCAUUGAGUUGAAUCACUUCAGGAUGUAUGGUGUGGCCCUGGAAUUGGAUUCGCAUCAGAUCAUGCUUCUGCUUCUGUGGAUUGUGUGGUGGCAAGGAAGAAUGCUUCUUCAAAAAGGAACAUUGAUGCUGUUGAGAGAGCAACACAUAGGGAAGAGUGUAGAUCGGAU